AUUGAACGCUGGCGGCAGGCUUAACACAUGCAAGUCGAGCGGAGAUGAGGUGCUUGCACCUUAUCUUAGCGGCGGACGGGUGAGUAAUGCUUAGGAACGUACCCUUUGGUACGGAAUAGUCUCGGGAAACUGGGGGUAAUACCGUAUACGCCCUUCGGGGGAAAGAUUUAUCGGAGAAGGAUCGGCCCGCGUUGGAUUAGGUAGUUGGUGGGGUAAUGGCCUACCAAGCCGACGAUCCAUAGCUGGUUUGAGAGGAUGAUCAGCCACACUGGGACUGAGACACGGCCCAGACUCCUACGGGAGGCAGCAGUGGGGAAUCUUAGACAAUGGGCGCAAGCCUGAUCCAGCAAUGCCGCGUGAGUGAUGAAGGCCUUAGGGUUGUAAACCGCUUUCAGCCGGAAAGAAAUCGCCGUUUUAAUACAGACGGUGGAUGACGGUACCGGAAGAAGAAGCACCGGCUAACUACGUG
rnacentral:rRNA from 1 species